GAACGAUAGAGUUUGAUCAUGGCUCAGGACGAACGCUGGCGGCGUGCUUAACACAUGCAAGUCGAGCGGUAAGGCCCCUUCGGGGGUACACGAGCGGCGAACGGGUGAGUAACACGUGGGUGACCUGCCCUCAGCUCUGGGAUAAGCCUGGGAAACUGGGUCUAAUACCGGAUAUGACUCCAUGACGCAUGUCGUGGGGUGGAAAGCCUUGUGCGGCUGGGGAUGGGGCCCCGCGGCCUAUCAGCUUGUUGGUGGGGUGAUGGCCUACCAAGGCGACGACAGGUAGCCGGCCUGAGAGGGCGACCGGGCCACACUGGGACUGAGACACGGCCCAGACUCCUACGGGAGGCAGCAGUGGGGAAUCUUGCGCAAUGGGCGAAAGCCUGACGCAGCGACGCCGCG
rnacentral:rRNA from 1 species